GGCCUCUGAAGGGAAGGACCAGGCCUGUCUUUGGCUUUCGUUUCAGCAGACGGAGAGAGAUAAACUCUACACUCCAUUAUCAAGGGCAUUUACCCCCAUCACCAUCCACACCAAUUCCACUUGGUUGGAUCAUGRGUCCUCUGCUUCCACUUUCCAUGCCAAGUGACCUGUGUGUUUACACCACUGCUUGUUUACUUACACCACCUUUUCUGAGCAGAAGUUGUACCAUUUGGACUUCUCAGAAAGCAUUUUAGCAAGAGAAACACCAUGCUGGACAUUUGACCAACAGCACGAGAGAUUGUAUUUUAGAAGUAACAUUACAGUUACUUCUGUGAGGCCUUUGAUCAAAGGAUUUCUGAGCCUUAACAGUUACCAGUCUAAACAAAGUUAAUAAAA